CGUGUCGUGAGAUGUUGGGUUAAGUCCCGCAACGAGCGCAACCCUUGAUCUUAGUUGCCAGCAUUCAGUUGGGCACUCUAAGGUGACUGCCGGUGACAAACCGGAGGAAGGUGGGGAUGACGUCAAAUCAUCAUGCCCCUUAUGACCUGGGCUACACACGUGCUAUAAUGGAUGGUACAAAGGGCAGCGAAGCCGCGAGGCUAAGCCAAUCCCACAAAUCUGUUCUCAGUUCGGAUUGCAGUCUGCAACUCGACUGCGUGAAGCUGGAAUCGCUAGUAAUCGCGGAUCAGCAUGCCGCGGUGAAUACGUUCCCGGGCCUUGUACACACCGCCCGUCACACCACGAGAGUUUGUAACACCCGAAGUCGGUGAGGUAACCUUUUAGGAGCCAGCCGCCGAAGGUGGGACAGAUGAUUGGGGU
rnacentral:rRNA from 1 species